GAUGCAUUUCAUCAGGACCUGGUGACUUGCUGACAUCUAACUUUCCUAAGUGAUUUUUAACUUGUUGGUGAAUAAACUAUUCACCCUGUCACCCAGCUCAAAUUAUCUCCUCUUGAAUGUAACUCUGUGCAAGUCACUUGGACAACAGACAUGUAAAGAAGCUAUACCGCUUCCCAAGGUAUUGCUUUUGUGCUUUAAACAAAAAGAUGUUGAAAAUCAUUAAGAUUUACUUACUCACUGUUUCCUGUCCACCACAUACUCCGUCAAAUUGAGCUCUCAGUGGAGUAGUUUGGCAGUGAUCAAAGCCAUAAGAAUGUUUUGUUGGCUUACAAAUAAUAUUAACUUUGUUACCUAAUUUUCAGGAUCCGCCUGAGUGUUUGGGUUAGGUUCCCUCUCCUUGAGUCUGACAUUAAGACACAGCUGCACCAUGAUGAGAGUGGUGAAUAUUCUCAUUAUGGAGGUGAAACUAGACUUCCAUUAUAUCCCAGCAUUGAUCACGACACACAUCCCCAGUCAUUGCCUAAACUUUAAAAAGUCACACCCGUGACUCUAUUCUCAGCUGGCUGAUUUUUUUGAAAGUCUGAGACAAAAUGAACAAGGCGUGGCUUCAAAAAUUAGGUAUAUUUGUUUCCUUAGAAAUGCUCUUCGUUGCCUCUGGCUCAUGUCUCAAAACUGGCUUAUUCAGUUCUGUCUCCACUUGCACUUUUGUUACUAUGACUUACAUCACACAGGGGUGUGAUUAAGGCACCCUCCUCUGAGCUACGCUGACAGAUGCGCUGGUGCAGAGAGCACUACGUUGCUGGGAGAUGUUCUCCUUCUGAUGUAGCUACUGCUGCUUGUGGAAGAUGGCUUAGUUAUACUGACAGAAGAGCUCUCUGUCCCUAUAGUGCCAAUGCAAGCAAAGUUAGAGGUGCAUCUGCAUCAGUACAGCUUGAUCUUAGUUUAGAUAGUCCACUGUUGUUGUAAAUGUCUUGGUCUUGCCAAGUGUUUGUGUUUCUACGUGGUAGUUAUAUAGCCUUGAUGUCCUUGAACAAAACUUACCUGAACAUCUGGAAGUUGUAUGGUCCCAUGCAAGCUGUAUGCUCCCUGCAAGGCUGAUGCCAGAACAUCUGCAUUGGCUAGCAGCCAAACUAACCUGCCCUGUUGUAUGCUCAGUAAGGGAGAUGAGUUUCUGGCAGGUCCAUUGAAAUACCAUGUGUUCCCAUAGCUGUGUCCCUCUUCAUUUCCAUGGUGACUACCUUUAGGGCAGUCAGAGUUUCACAGUGUAGUUCUGAAACCUGCAUCUCUUGUGCUUACUUGACUGGGAAUUUGGGUGCACCAGGUCUGAAUCCAGCCUUUUGCCCUUACUUCCCUCCCCCAUCCCACAUGCUUGGACUGGGGGCUAGUCUCACCCAUGGGUUCAAGUUAGAGCAGCUCUUGCACUAUGGUAACUUCUUAUGGCUGGAACAAUUCUGUAGGGACUAUUUUUUUUUAUUAUUUUUUUUAAACUACCAAGGACCAACAGAAUGUAGCAUAUUCCUCUCCCAUCCCUGACAUGUCCCUAGCUCCAAGCAGGCAUCAUAGAAUCAGACAUGCUGGCUUUGCAGCAUUGAGGGAGUCUCCAAAUGCCCCUCAGGCUGCUUGAAGUCCCUACUGCUUGUCUCACUGCAGUAAUCCUACAUCGCCACUGCAGACACCUAGAGCAGCACAUGAUGUCUUAAAAAACCCAUGAUGCACAAGCCAUAAGCUAAGCCAAUCCCAGAGGGGUGGGGCAAGGCUCCCAAACCUAAAGCUUGUGUGUGUGUAUGUGGGGGUGGUGGGGAGACUAGAACCCUGUAGUUCUAAACAGCAUGGAAAGCUCAAGUAACCUAGGAUAAAGUUUUAAUCUUUUAACUUGUCUCAUAUAACCCUUUUGCCUCUUCUCAGAUAUGAAGGCAACGUACAGGCGCACCAGACAUGAUCAUCAGCACCAUGGGCCCCCAGCAGCUUCCUUUUGGUGCCUCCAAUAAAGACCAUGUUGGGCAUCACAGGUCUGGGAUACUCAAACACAAAGUCGUACCUCAGGAGCCAAAUGGAUGCCUUGCUGAAGAGUUCCAGGACUGUUACCUGUCUCUGAAGAAACUCAGAAGCUAGUCUCUCAUAUUCUGAAUAGAACAGGUGCAACGACGACAAUCUCAUGUCCUUUGAGCCUAAGCGCAUCCAGCACAGCCCGCAUGCUGAGCCAGUGACUUCCAUCCAUCGGCACCACAAGCAGC